rnacentral:lncRNA from 1 species
UAUGUGUGUGUGUGUGUGUGUGUAUAAAUACAUGCAGUGCAACUAUAAAUACAUGCAUUCUCACUUAAUUCCAAACAACUGAUCAUUCUUCACACCACAAACUCGUUCGUAAGUCAUCAAUAAUCUCGAUGUAUAUACAUAUUAUAUUGAAACGCUUCGUUUUUUUGUUUUUUUUUUCGUGAUUAUAUUUGAAUUUGUGAAUGACAGGUGUGUAUAUAUAUUGAUACAGACAUGCAAAGGAUGGGUAGGACGCGUGUUUUUGCGAUUGUUUUCGUUUUGCUGAUGAUGGGAUCUUGCAUGGCAAAAGCGAGGAGAAUAGUUGCAGACGAAACGCAGCAUAAGGGAUUAAAGGCCGAAGGUACUAAAAAUGGCGACGGUAAUAACGGAGUUGUUGUUAACGACGACGACGAUGAAGAUGAUGGUAAUAAUUUGAACGGGGAGAAUCACCAUGCUUACUCCAUACCGGAUUUCAACAGACAAGGUGGCACUAGUCCUGGCAGAGAUUAAUUACAUAGUAUUAUCAUAUUUUCUGUUUCUCUCUCUCUCUCUCUCUCUCUCUCUCUCUCUCUCUCUCUCUCUAUAUAUAUAUAUAUAUAUAUAUAUAUAAGUAAUAAUGUAGAAUAAGAUGCUUUUAAUUAGAUAUUAGAGAUCCUUCUGUUUGUAGUAAGAGUACUCUACUCUACUGAUGUAAUAAUAUGCUUCAUGCAUGAUAAUAAUGGUAUAAUCGUAACUAAAGCAUCUGCAACUAAUAUUAUAAAAGAAAAUUGCC